UCAGGUGGCUAUAGCCCAAGGGUUCCACCUCUUCCCAUUCCGAACAGAGAAGUUAAGCCUUGUCACGCCGAUGGUACUGCGUCACAGUGGGAGAGUAGGUAGCCGCCGUUU
rnacentral:rRNA from 1 species